rnacentral:tRNA from 1 species
GAUUUAUUUGAUAAAAUGGACGGAUUGCAAAUCCGUGUACACGAGUUCGAUUCUCGUACUCGCCUCCA